rnacentral:rRNA from 1 species
UACGUAGGGGGCAAGCGUUGUCCCGGAUUCAUUGGGCGUAAAGAGCGUGUAGGCGGCCAGGUAGGUCGGUUGUGAAAACUGGAGGCUCAACCUUCAGAGGUCGACCGAAACCAUCUGGCUAGAGUCCGGGAGAGGAGAGUGGAAUUCCUGGUGUAGCGGUGAAAUGCGCAGAUAUCAGGAAGAACACCCGUGGCGAAAGCGGCUCUCUGGAACGGUACUGACGCUGAGACGCGAAAGCGUGGGGAGCGAACAGG